GAUUCUCCAGUGAAACAAACCAAUAUAGGAGACAACAUUAUGAUUCGCUGCAGAUCUGAUGGAGGAAUUCAUUGCCAUUUCUACCACAAUCACAGUGCGGUCCCUUUCAAAACAACACAAUACAGUGCAAAAUAUAAGUUCUGUCACCUCUCUAUCCCUGUCGAGGAGUUAGUGGGGGACAGAGACUUUGGGAGGAGCACUGAAGUGUCUCUGAGCUGUUCUGUUGAAAUGAUGAUUGAUGGACAGCUAAAACAUUCACAGCACAGUGAUAUUAACAAAGUGGAGGUUGUUGACAAGCUAAGUCAACUGGAAAGACCUCGUAUUGAAGCACACUCCCAGUAUGUCAAUGAAGAAGAUGUUGUCCAAAUGUUCUGCUAUGCGAACACAGGAACACAUUGUCAUUUUUACAAUAAGUAUGACACAGUUCCUCUUGGAUCAGUGCCCUACAGUGAAGAGUUUAAUUCCUGCAGCCUGGCUCUCCCUGUGAAAGAGCUGGUGUCAGAGAGACACAGUGGGAAGAGUCCUCAGAUUCUCCUCAGGUGUUCGGUGGAAGUGAAGCUGGGAGAAACAAUGGUGACCUCAAGACGCAGCCAGAGCAUCAGAGUAAAUCUGGAAGAUGAUGGUUAGUAAUAGUUUUGAAAGUAUAGGAUUGUUUCUUAUUUUUAUAGCGAA
rnacentral:lncRNA from 1 species